rnacentral:rRNA from 1 species
CCUACGGGAGGCAGCAGUGGGGAAUAUUGCACAAUGGGGGAAACCCUGAUGCAGCGACGCCGCGUGAGUGAAGAAGUAAUUCGUUACGUAAAGCUCUAUCAGCAGGGAAGAAACACUGACCUUACGGUCAGCAGACGGUACCUGAGUAAGAAGCCCCGGCUAACUACGUGCCAGCAGCCGCGGUAAUACGUAGGGGGCAAGCGUUAUCCGGAUUUACUGGGUGUAAAGGGAGCGUAGACGGUUAGCCAAGUCUGAAGUGAAAGGCCAGGGCUUAACUAUGGAACUGCUUUGGAAACUGGAGAACUAGAGUGCAGGAGGGGUAAGCGGAAUUCCUAGUGUAGCGGUGAAAUGCGUAGAUAUUAGGAGGAACACCAGUGGCGAAGGCGGCUUACUGGACCGUAACUGACGUUGAGGCUCGAAGGCGUGGGGAGCAAACAGGAUUAGAUACCCGUGUAGUC